AGCGAACGCUGGCGGCAGGCCUAACACAUGCAAGUCGAACGAACCUUUCGGGGUUAGUGGCGGACGUGUGAGUAACACGUGGGAACGUGCCUUUAGGUACGGUAUAACUCAGGGAAACUUGUGCUAAUACCGCAUGUGCCCUUAGGGGGAAGGAUUACUCGCCUUUAGAGGGGCCCGCGUCUGAUUAGCUAGUUGGUUGAGGUAAUGGCUCACCAAGGCGACGAUCAGUAGCUGGUCUGAGCGGAUGAUCAGCCACAUUGGGACUGAGACACGGCCCAAACUCGUACGCGAGGCAGCAGUGGGGAAUCUUGCGCAAUGGGCGAAAGCCUGACGCAGCCAUGCCGCGUGAAUGAUGAAUGUCUUAGGAUUGUAAAAUUCUUUCACCGGAGACGAUAAUGACGGUAACCGGAGAAGAAGCCCCGGCUAACUUCGUG
rnacentral:rRNA from 1 species